CCAGACUCCUACGGGAGGCAGCAGUGAGGAAUAUUGGUCAAUGGCCGAGAGGCUGAACCAGCCAAGUCGCGUGAGGGAAGACGGCCCCACGGGUUGUAAACCUCUUUUGUCGGGGAGCAAAGCGAGUCACGUGUGACUCAUUGAGAGUACCCGAAGAAAAAGCAUCGGCUAACUCCGUGCCAGCAGCCGCGGUAAUACGGAGGAUGCGAGCGUUAUCCGGAUUUAUUGGGUUUAAAGGGUGCGUAGGCGGACUGUUAAGUCAGGGGUAAAAGCCGGGGCCCCACCCCCGGCGAGCCGUUGAAACUGGCUGUCUUGAGAUGUCGAGAGGUAUGCGGAAUGCGCAGUGUAGCGGUGAAAUGCUUAGAUAUUGCGCAGAACUCCGAUUGCGAAGGCAGCAUACCGGCGGCGAUCUGACGCUGAGGCACGAAAGCGUGGGUAUCGAACAGGAUUAGAUACCCCAGUA
rnacentral:rRNA from 1 species